GAGGUACUGGAUGGAUGUAUAAGUUUAUAGAGGUACUGGAUGGAUGUAUAAGUUUAUAGAGGUAUUGAAUGGAUGUGGAAGUUAUUAGAGGUAUUGGAUGGAUGUGGACGUUAUUAGAGGUAUUGGAUGGAUGUGGAAGUUUAUAGAGGUAUUGGAUGGAUGUGGAAGUUUAUAGAGGUAUUGGAUGGAUGUGGAAGUUUAUAGAGGUAUUGGAUGGAUGUGGAAGUUUAUAGAGGUAUUGGAUGGAUGUGGAAGUUUAUAGAGGUAUUGGAUGGAUGUAUAAGUUUAUAGAGGUACUGGAUGGAUGUAUAAGUUUAUAGAGGUAUUGAAUGGAUGUGGAAGUUAUUAGAGGUAUUGGAUGGAUAUGGAAGUUUAUAGAGGUAUUGGAUGGAUGUGGAAGUUUAUAGAGGUAUUGAAUGGAUGUGGAAGUUAUUAGAGGUAUUGGAUGGAUAUGGAAGUUUAUAGAGGUAUUGGAUGGAUGUAUAAGUUUAUAGAGGUACUGGAUGGAUGUAUAAGUUUAUAGAGGUAUUGAAUGGAUGUGGAAGUUAUUAGAGGUAUUGGAUGGAUGUGGAAGUUUAUAGAGGUAUUGGAUGGAUGUGGAAGUUUAUAGAGGUAUUGGAUGGAUGUGGAAGUUUAUAGAGGUAUUGGAUGGAUGUGGAAGUUUAUAGAGGUAUUGGAUGGAUGUGGAAGUUAUUAGAGGUAUUGGAUGGAUGUGGAAGUUUAUAGAGGUAUUGGAUGGAUGUAUAAGUUUAUAGAGGUAUUGAAUGGAUGUGGAAGUUAUUAGAGGUAUUGGAUGGAUGUGGACGUUUAUAGAGGUAC